rnacentral:rRNA from 1 species
AGAGCGUAAGGGGAAUGCCUUGGCACCAGGAGCCGACGAAGGACGCAGCGAUCUGCGAAAAGCCACGGGGAGCCGAAAGCAGGCUUUGAUCCGUGGAUAUCCGAAUGGGGAAACCCGCAUGGUUAAUAGCCAUGCGACGUAUACUGAAUAAAUAGGUAUGCGUCGGGAACCGUCUGAACUGAAACAUCUAAGUAGGACGAGGAAAAGAAAUCAACCGAGAUUCCGUAAGUAGUGGCGAGCGAACACGGAAGAGGCCAAACCGAAGGUAGCAAUAUCUUCGGGGUACGGACAGUAAACGGCAUUGCGGUAUCUUAGCAGAAGUGCAUGGGACGGCACACCAUAGAGAGUGAUAGUCUCGUAAGCGAAAAGAGAAGGCAGCCAACUGUAUCCAGAGUACCGCCGGACACGUGAAACCCGGUGGGAACAUGGGGGGACCAUCCUCCAAGCCUAAAUACUCCCUGGUGACCGAUAGAGAACAGUACUGUGAAGGAAAGGUGAAAAGAACCCCGGGAGGGGAGUGAAAAGAACCUGAAACCUUAUGCUUACAAGCACCGAGAGCCCAUCAAAGGGUGAUCGGGUACCUUUUGUAGAAUGGUCCGGCGAGUGAAUGUAACUGGCAAGGUUAAGCACUUCAGGUGUGGAGCCGAAGCGAAAGCAAGUCUUAAUAGGGCGUCAAGUCAGUUGUAUUCGACCCGAAACCGUGUGACCUAGCCAUGAGCAGGCUGAAGUGGAGGUAAAACUCCAUGGAGGGCCGAACCCACUCCCGUUGAAAUGGUAGGGGAUGACUUGUGGCUAGCGGAGAAAUUCCAAUCGAACUCGGAGAUAGCUGGUUCUCUCCGAAAUAGCUUUAGGGCUAGCCUCGAUUUAACAUUACCGGAGGUAAAGCACUGAAUGGGCUAGGGGCCGAGAGGUUACUGAACCCUAUCAAACUAAGAAUGCCGGAUAAUGAUAAUCGGGAGUCAGACAGUGUGAGAUAAGUUUCAUUGUCAAAAGGGAAACAGCCCAGACCCACAGCUAAGGUCCCAAAGUACGGUUAAGUGGAAAAGGAUGUGGGGUUGCACAGACAACCAGGAUGUUGGCUUAGAAGCAGCCACUCAUUAAAAGAGUGCGUAAUAGCUCACUGGUCGAGUGACCCUGCGCCGAAAAUUCAACGGGGCUAAACAAUGUACCGAAGCUUGGGAUUCUAAAGUAAUUUAGAGUGGUAGGAGAGCGUCGAAUAAGGGGUGAAGUCAGAGCGGAAGCGCUGGUGGACUUUAUUCGAGUGAGAAUGCCGGAAUGAGUAGCGAGAAUUAUGUGAGAAUCAUAAUGGCCGAAAGACUAAGGUUUUAGAAGGAAGGUUCGUCCGCUUCUAGUCAGCCGGGAGCUAAGGCGAGGCCGAAAGGCGUAGUCGAUGCACAUACGGUGGAGAUUCCGUAGCCGCCAUUAAUUUAAACAGAGGGACACUUUCAAGUGGCAUGACCCGGGCGUUGGUAGACCCGGGCGUAAGGGACCGAAAAUUAGUAGGGAAGCAUGCUUUAAGGAAGGCGAGAAAAGCUCUGUGUAUAGAAGAUGGCGCCCGUACCGCAAACCGACACAGGUAGUCAGGAAGAGAAUUCUAAGGCCAACGGGAGAAGGGUAGUUAAGGAACUCGGCAAAUUGACCCCGUAACUUCGGAAUAAGGGGUGCUCACGAGAGUGAGCCGCAGUGAAUAGGUCCAGGCGACUGUUUAUCAAAAACACAGCUCUCUGCUAAAUCGAAAGAUGACGUAUAGGGGGUGACACCUGCCCGGUGCUGGAAGGUUAAGAGGAAGGGUGCAAGCUCUGAAUUGAAGCCCCAGUAAACGGCGGCCGUAACUAUAACGGUCCUAAGGUAGCGAAAUUCCUUGUCGGGUAAGUUCCGACCCGCACGAAUGGUGUAACGAUCUGGGCACUGUCUCAACUACCCACCCGGCGAAAUUGUAGUACCGGUGAAGAUGCCGGUUACCCGCGGCAAGACGGAAAGACCCCAUGGAGCUUUACUGUAACCUGAUAUUGGGUUUCGGUAUUUUAUGUACAGGAUAGGUGGGAGACUAUGAAACUAAGGCGCCAGCCUUAGCGGAGUCGCCCUUGGGAUACCACUCUUAAAGUACUGAAAUUCUAACCUGCGGCCGUGAAUCCGGUCGGGGGACAUUGUCAGGCGGGCAGUUUGACUGGGGCGGUCGCCUCCAAAAGAGUAACGGAGGCGCUCAAAGGUUCGCUCAGCAUGGUCGGAAACCAUGCCUUAGAGUGU